GCUUAGAACUUCACCUGGUCACUCAACACCAGCUCCAUCACCAAGAAAGCCUAGCAGCAUCUCUACUUACUGAGAACGCUGGGGAAAGCCUAUCUCCCUCCCCCUACCCAUACCACGUUCUACGAGAUACAGAGAGGCCUGGGUUUUGGAACUGCACCGUCUCUGAUUGCAAGAUGUUCGCAGAGGAUACGGGGAGAGAGAUUCCAAUGAUUUUCUUCGGCUGUCCCCACAUUUACAUUUACAUUUACAUUUGCGGCAUUUGGCAGACGCCCUUAUCCAGAGCGACUUACAACUGAGCAGGGGAGGGUCUUAGCUUUGCUCAAGGGCCCAGCAGUGGCAGCUUGGUGGGAUUUGAACCUGUGAUCUUCUGAUCCAAAGCCCAAUGCCUUAACCACUUAGCUACCACCUCCCAUGGUAGUUACACAUUUACACCACGCACUGCAUCCACAAAGAUAUUUGCAUAGUGGACGACCCCACACAGCUCUUAAACACGCUCUUCAACCCUCUAUCACCAGGAAAGCGCGUAUAAAGCAUUCAAGCCCUGAACUCCAGACUGUGCAACAGUCUUUUCUCGCUCAAGCCAUCAGGCUCCUCAACACACAGAACUGAACUAGAACUGAAACUCACAUGCACACUCACUCAACUGUGUUACUGAGCUGCUACAAAUCUGAACUCACACACACACACAUUUCAAUUUACACACAUCCUUUUCUUCAGCACUAACAAUUGUAUAUUAUUAUUUUAUUAUAACUAUAUUAUAACUGUUUACCUGCUGUUUUGCACAUUUACUCGAUUGCUGCUGUUGCUGUUUUGCACAACUUUUUGCAUUUUAUUUACAAGUACACUCUUGUUUACAGAUCUAAUUUUUGAACACAUUAUACAGUAGGUUUCCUGGCGUACUGGUCUUUUGUCUUGAGAUGAUGCCAAACAGUGGCAAACAUGUUCUCCCAACUUCUUUUUAAAUGAUAAAUCUUCUCAGUUUCAAAGCCAUGCUAAACAAGAGAGAAAAAAUAAGACAAGUCUCUUCAAAUGAACAGAGUAUUGUGACUAGGAAUGCACCGAAAUGAAAAUUCUUGGCUGAAACCGAAAACCGAAAAAGAGGAAAGCAAGGCCGAAAACCAAAAGAAAUUUUGCCAAUAAUUGUUACCAUUGCAUUUAUGGCUAUGACUGUGUACUAACCUUACUAAA